ensembl:lncRNA
GUGGAGGCAGGAGGAGAGGGAGUUCAAGGUCAGUCUGAGUUACAUAGUUACAUAGUCAGUUCAAAAACCAAACAAAACUGCUUUCAGAUACAGCAGGGCUGAGUGUUGAAGGGUCUAGACAGGGAACUUGUUUUUUAAGAUAGAGUUUGCAGAAUUUGCCUAAAGAAGAAACAAACAAACGAUAUUUAUAUGAAACAAUGCCUGGAAUGUGAACUGGAGGACGGGAAAAGCAAGUCUGGCUUCCAUGAUGUUGGGGAAACAAUCUGUGUAAACACGAGGUCAAGCCAAGUCUAGCUCCUAAGAGGACAGCGAGAAGCCUGGUUGGUCUGACAUUAACCCUGGACACUUCUAGGCCUUGGUUGUCCACUGUUGACUACACAGUAGUUCACACACGAGAGGCUUAACACAUGUGACAUCCUUCAUCCCCACAGCUUCAACAGGGAAGGCAAGCAUCAGGUCCAUUUCACAGAUAAGUAAAAGGUACCAUACCAGAGAGCAAGGCCACAAAACUCGCAAGCAUCAGAAUCAGAAUUAUAACCCACCCCACUCUUGGCUCCACAGCCCUCUGUUUUCCAUGGCAUCAGAAUCCUCAAGCUUGAGGUAGGUGGAGCAGGGUAUAGCUCAGAUGGUAGAGGCUUGCCUAGUGCCCAAAGAGCCCAGGGCACAAUGCAAUCCCUAGCUUUGUGGAAACCUGAUGUGGUGGUGCAUGCCUGUAAUUUCAGCAGUCAGAAGCUAGAGGCAGAUAACUGUCAGCUACAUGGCCUGGGUCCAGUCUGGUUACAAAAGACCUUGUCUGGACAAAAGAGGGGGGUACUAAAUUUAAAAGGGGAGGGGUCAGCUAGAGAGCUUGACAAUUCUGAUACUUUGGCCACCUUCUGUGAACACUGGGUCAAACCUGUUUCUAUAGAGUUGCUUAAAGAAUGCUGGUCCAGCCAAGGAUCUUGGCUGAAAGUUACAGGGAUGGAUCACAUCUGGACCAGCAGACAGUCCUGCCUUGGGAGCUGGGGACCCACAGCAGAACUUUCCAAACUGCCCUUGGGUUCAGGUAGGUAGCUUAUGGGCUACAGGACCUCGGGCUCCCAGAAUCCCUUUCCUGUCUGGUUCUUGGUGAGAACUGGCCAAAGAACUGCAUGGUCACUUGAGAAAACAACUGUGAGGCAACAGUACUCAGGAUCUCCAGGGGAUCCAGUGGUGGACAGAGAGGUCAUUGUUCCAGCAGCCCCCAGCCCACCAUGGACACUUGGCUGAGUCCAUGUAGUGGGGAAAUGGCUGGCCCAGGGGAUCCACUAAAUUCCCUGAAUGGCGCCUGAUGAUAAUCGCAUGCUGAGUGCGCUCAAGGAUGAUCCAUAGUCCGUAAGGCUAAUAUUUCUUUAUUCUGAUAAACACCAGCCCAAACGCAAGCCAGAGUGUGCCAGGGGCAGCAAGGCAGCCAAGCCAGAGAGAGGGGCCAGAAAGAAUGUGCUCGGUCCCUUAAGAAUCGUUCCUGCCGGGCGUUGGUGGCUCACGCCUUUAAUCCCAGCACUCAGGAGGCAGAGGCAGGUGGAUCUCUGUGAGUUCGAGACCAGCCUGGUCUACAAGAGCUAGUUCCAGGACAGGCUCCAAAGCCACAGAGAAACCCUGUCUCGAAAAACCAAACCAAACCAAAACAAAACAAAAAACAGAAUCGUUCCCAUGUCACCUUAGACCUCCCCUGACCACGCCCUCAUGGGCGUGUCCCAGCAACCUGUCAAGGCUAUUAGGAGGCGGGGCUACAGUAUCUCCCUACAAUUCCCCUUUUAGUCUAAAAGAGGAUUAAAACUUAAUAGUGUAAAACAUGCAAAAUUAACAAUCAUAAAGGUGAAAUAUAAGAAGAUACAAUAAUCUGCUAUUGCACAUCCUAACUAUGUCUAUUCCAGCUAAGCACUAAAGUCAUGUGGAAAGGGUCUACCUGCACUCUACCACUGAGAUACAUCUUUGGCCUCUUCAUCUUUUUGGUUUUUUGUUUGAGUCAAGUUCUCACUAUACAGCCCUGAAUGGCUUGGGACUCGAUAUGUAGACCAGGCUGACCUCAAACUAACAGAGAUCCACCUGCCUCUGCCUCAGCUUCCUGGAUGCUGGGGUUAAAGGCGUGUGCCACCAUUCCUGGCCCUUUUUGUUUUUGAGCUGGGGCAGGGGGUCUCACUAAACUGCCCAGGCUGCCCUUGGACUUGAGAUGCUCAGUCUCAGCAUCCUGAGAAGCUAGGACCACAGGCCUUUGCUGCCAGACCCAGCACUGGAAACAGGGGUUCACUGGGGGUGGGGGAGGUAAGGAAAAGAUUUGGGGAUGACCAAGAGGACAAACACUACCUGGGUUUAUGAAUAUACUAAAUGACACUGAAUCACUUACUUACUUUAACACACCAGUCUGCAGUCAUGUGAAUUUCUGAGCUGUAAUAUGACAGCUGUGUGAGUCCUGGCUGAGGCUUCUCCUGUGGCUCCUAGUACAGGAACAAUGCAUCUUCAGCCCCACCCUGGGCAGGUGCCGUAUCAUUCUCCCAGUAUAAUAGAAGCGGACCCAGACUGUCUGACUCCUCAUUCUGAUUUGUCACUAUGUCAGAACACAAGAUUGCUUCUUUGUGCAGGAGACAGAAACCAGAUGUCAGUCGGAGCAGCCCUUGAUGACACAGCAAAGCAGGAACCUGGCCUCUUCACUCCACUGUGCCCAGAGGCAGAGGAGAGAGUGAACACCAUAGGGAGCUGGAUCAUUCUUGGGCCCACAACACUGGCCCUUCUGACAUGAAGUCCCAUGGGCUGCUAGACGAGGAUGGUUUGGACUAGGAGUAGGCUCACCAUAAGGGAAAGGUUUUCAAAGCAAUUGUGAGGUCUGGGGGAUGUAGCUCGGUUGUAGAUGAAUGCUUGCCUAGCUUGGAUGAGGUCCUGGGUUCAGUUCUCAGCACUGCAGGAACUGGGCAUAGUGGAACAACACAGAUUCUCUCAGCAUGGAGGAGGUUGACCCAGAGGGCCUGAAGUUCAAGGGCACCCUCAGCUACACAGUGGAUUAGAAUCCAGCCUGGUCUACAUGCUCGUCUGUCUUUUAAAAAUGCAACAGUAAGAGUAGCAAUGCUUAAUUAAAACCCACAAUUAGCAGUCAAUCCAUUUAAUCUUCACAAAUUGCCCCCUCUCCUCUACACCCUCGGUCUAGGCUGGUCUCAAAUUUUCUAUCCUCCUGGCUCGGUUUCUUGAAUGCUGGAAUUAUAGGCCUGCAGGCUACCAUGUCCAGCUCUCACAAAACCCUAAAAUUAUUCUCUCCAUUUAGAGGAGCUGAACAUUGGUCCAAAGUCACAACAUCAUUAGGACGAAAGUUUGAAUUUUAACCUGUUACUGUAACCCAGGGUAAUACAUGCAAGGAAUUUAGUACAGGUGAGAACAGAGAAGACAAACCUCACAGAAUCUAUUAGCAAUCACCAUCAGAACCAUUACAGUAAAUGGUUUCCAUUUUUCCUUACUGGAGCUGAGAUGGCUCAGCCAGUAAAAGAGCUAACCCUGCAAGCCUGGAGACCUGAGUUCCAUCCCUAGAGAACUGACUUCACCAAGUUGUCCUCUGAAAUCCAUAUGUGAGCUAUGCCACAUGCAUGACUCCUAUAAGCUCAUCAUGCACACAAUGACACUAAAUAAAUAAGUGCUGACAUUUAUGCUCCGUGUAGUUUUUGAAAUGGAAGAUAGAUGGGUCAGCUUUGGAACCUGCCCUUUCACAGUGGGGUCAUCUCUCUUAGUUUCCCCCUUAAUGACCGCAUGAUGUCCCCAUGUGGGUAGACCUCAAUUUUACAGGCCUUAGUGUUGAACACAGGUAUUUCACAUGAGAAAACAUCCGGGUUUCGGGGUGGGGGUAGUUUCAACCUAAUCAGUGGAAUCUAGCAAAGACCCUUUCCUGUAGAAAGCUGUAUGGCGGCCGGGAAGAGUCAAGAGCCAGCAGCAACAGAACUCAUGCAUGUAGUGGCAUCUUGCCUUGCCAGUGAACUUGUAGUAGUAGCCACACCCUUUGGGUGUGUUUCAGGUGACCCCUUUAAGGUAGAGGAGCUUUGGGUGCGGGCUCCCUUGGAUCACAGAGAGCAUUGGAAGGGCAGAGACUGCAUCCACAUGCACUUUUAGUUCCAGUGGGAACUCUGGGGGAAAGGCUCCCCUUUGCAUGUUCCGAACCUGAGCAUUCUCACCUACAAGCCGAAGGAUGGUUUCUCUUGUAUGCAUCCAUCUUGCUCGCUUAAUGGAAAAAGAGGCUUGCUACCUACCUAGGCAACACAAAUGCAGAGUAUGGGCCUUCGAGCUGGCUCAGUAAGUAAAGGCGCUUGCCUCCAAGACAAAGAUUUGAGUUUCAUCCCUGGAACCCUCAUGGUGUAAGAGAGAAUCAGCUCCCCUGGCCUCCACACGCUGCUGUGGCAUAUGUACGUGCCCAUCCACAAACACAGACACACAAUGAAUGAUGUAAUAAAAACCGACUUAGCAAAUAAACAAAGAGAUCGGACUGUGGAAGUUGCCGGAUGGAGUGGAGUCCUCACGGUACUUUCCUAGCUGCCAGUUGUACUACCAACAGAGAAGCAAAACUGAGUAACCUCCCUGGCCUCACUAGCCUUCAGUGGAAUUUAAAAAUAAUUCAAAGUCAGAGGCCACAGGUGGCUGAGCACUGUCCUGGUCCCUGGCAGGCUUUGCUCAGAUGCCACCCCUAGCACGUGGGUCAUGAUGAUAACAGUCACCUGGGUUCCUUUCUUUAGAAACUUGAAAGCUGCUUUCGUUGAAACCACUGACCUGCACUUGUGUCUGGUGUGUGACCUAUGGAGUCAGGAAGCAUACAACGCCCCCCUUUGCUUGUGCUGACAUUGCUGUGUGAACACAAGUGCCCCGCAUUGCCCAGAAGCUUGAUUGCACAUGUGCAGAAUGUUGCCUACUCCGGUCACCUCCACCGACCUACGAAUCACCCCACUUAUUUAUCUCAGAGGUCUCCCUAAACUCAAUGCUCUGGCAGAUGGUAUCAUUAUGUAGCCCAGGCUGGCCACACUUAACUACCUUGAGAAGAGGCAUGCCACGGCAGGCAAAUGGCCUGGCAGGCAAUAUUAUUAGCCAAUCCCUUAGAUGUGACAGUACUGAUGGUAAGAAAGUAAAAGCCCCCAAAUGACCUUGUGGAGCCAAGACCCUCCCAUCCCUAUUUAAAUUAUGACCUAAGUAGCUGAAGCCCUGGAGAUGUAGGCUUGUUUGCACAGUGGCUAGCGUCCUCCUGCCUCAGUUUCCCCACUAGCCAUAAGAUUGUUCCGAGCAUUAACUGGCUCCACAUCGACAAAGAUGGUUGGAAAGGCAUUCCCCACUCGCUUCAGAUGUCAGUCCUGUUAAGGACAGUCCCCAAACAUUUUGGCUUUCACCGCCACCCGGAUGUGGCUCUGUCCCGAGGAAUUUCCCUAGCUGCUUCUUGAAUAGUUCUCAGCCGGCAAGUUUACAGGAAGCCUCUGCAAGUUCCCGGUAACCAGCUCAUCCCUGGUGAGAGAACACACUUGCUCUUGGCUGUCAGUGUGCUUCUCCACACUCGUGAGUCAGUGCCAGGGGAGGAAGCCUGUGAACCUCAUCUCGAAGGCAGCGGCAGGAGUUUCCCUCACUCAUGACAAAGCUAUUGCACCAACAGCCUCUGUCUGGCAAUCAGAGAAGUACAAACCAAUGGUACAGUCCAGAGGUCACCCCCAUCACAACGGCUACCUACUUCUCUGUGUUGAAAAACUAUCCUGAUGAAGGCAAUGGAAGGAAGAAGGGGUUGAUUCUGACCUACAGUUCCAGUUCACUGACCCCUCCUUGCUCCCCAAUAAGGUGUAGGCCCCACGAGGGCAGGGGAUGCCUCUCCUGUGUGCUCUGUACCCCAAAGUCAAGAAUCUCGACGGAUCUGUAGGAAAACUCAGUGAGUACAGAGG